rnacentral:rRNA from 1 species
AUUGAACGCUGGCGGCAGGCCUAACACAUGCAAGUCGAACGAGUGGCGGACGGGUGAGUAAUGUCUGGGAAACUGCCUGAGGGAGGGGGAUAACCACUGGAAACGGUAGCUAAUACCGCAUACCCUGAGCUGUGCCCAGAGGGGAUGUGCUUGUUGGUGGGGUAACGGCUCACCAAGGAGACGAUCCCUAGCUGGUUUGAGAGGAUGACCAGCCACACUGGAACUGAGACACGGUCCAGACUCCUACGGGAGGCAGCAGUGGGGAAUAUUGCACAAUGGGCGCAAGCCUGAUGCAGCCAUGCCGCGUGUGUGAAGAAGGCCUUCGGGUUGUAAAGUACUUUCAGCGGGGAGGCGUUACCCGCAGAAGAAGCACCGGCUAACUCCGUGCCAGCAGCCGCGGUAAUUC